UGCCAGCCGCCGCGGUAAUACCGGCGCCUCAAGUGGUAGUCGAUUUUAUUGGGCCUAAAACGUCCGUAGCCUGUUUGGUACAUUCGUGGGUAAAUCAACCAGCUUAACUGAUUGAAUUCUGCGAGCACGGCCAGACUUGGGACCGGGAGAGGUGUGGGGUACGCUCAGGGUAGGGGUAAAAUCCUGUCAUCCUGAGCGGACCACCUGUUGCGAAGGCGCCACACUAGAACGGAUCCGACGGUCAGGGACGAAGCCUAGGGGCACGAACCGGAUUAGAUA
rnacentral:rRNA from 1 species